GCGAGAGUGGCGGAACUGGUAGACGCGCCAGACUUAGGAUCUGGUGGUUUCGGCCGUGGGGGUUCGAGUCCCCCCUUUCGCA
rnacentral:tRNA from 1 species